UACGGGAGGCAGCAGUGGGGGAUAUUGCGCAAUGGAGGCAACCCUGACGCAGCAACGCCGCGUGAAGGAUGAAGGUUUUCGGAUUGUAAACUUCUUUUAUCAGGGACGAAAAUUGACGGUACCUGAUGAAUAAGCUCCGGCUAACUACGUGCCAGCAGCCGCGGUAAU
rnacentral:rRNA from 1 species